rnacentral:rRNA from 1 species
AACGCAUCUUGCGCUCUUGGGUCAUUCCUAAGAGCAUGCUUGUUUGAGUGUCACGAAACCCUCUCAACCCCGCCUUCUAAUAUUGAAGGUUGUUUGGGCUUGGAUCAUGAUGUUUUGUUGUUGUAAUAGACGACUGCAUUGAAAUAUAACAAGCUGGAUCGACACACUUGCGGCUUGACCUAUUGUUGUAGAAACUAAGCGUUCUCAAUAGGAACGCAUUAAAGUUGAAUGAGCUUACCAUAAAGCAAAGUUUUUGAAACUUAGUGAUUUUCGACCUCAAAUCAAGUAGGACUACCCGCUGAACUUAA